GCUGCUAAGCUGACCUCUGCUGACCUGCCACUCUUCAUUGGGAUCACUCAAGACUUCCCUGCUGUGGAAACACCCAUUACACACUAUGGCAAGAGCCUUUUAAGGGGCAGCUGUGGCUCAGGAGGUAGAGCUGUCGUCCCCUAACUGGAAGUCAGUGGGUCGAUUCCUGUUCUCCCCAGUCCACAUCUCAAAGUGACCUUGGGCAAGACACUGAAUCCCACAUUUCUCCUGAUGGUCAGAGCAACACCUUUCAGGGACAGUGUCGCCAUCAGUGUGUGUGAGUUAGCACCGGAGGUCCCAAGUAUCCUCUGAACUCCAUGACUUGGAAAGCUGUGUGGAGCAAAUUACCUCUCCACCUACUAGUGACAGUGAGAGUCUUUGCUUUCUUCCCUCAUGACACCAAAGAUGCUAAUAACACACCACACUGCUCACAUUACUAUACAUCCAGUCUAACUGAACAAGCACUUGUUCCUGUGCUGGUACCCCAGUCACUUUUAUAAACU